CCACCCCUGUGGCACACACAGGACCCAGGCUCGGGGCGGGGCGGGGGCGGGGCCGCGCGCCGCUGGGCCAAUGCCGCACACCCGCGCACUGCCCGACAGCGGGUGCAGCCAAUGGGCGGGAGGCGUCCGUCCUCCUCGCGCUGCCGCCCCGUCCACGUCCUCCACAGUACACAAUGGCCCCAGAGGAAGGCCCGCUCGCAGCACGUCAGAAAGGAAUUGGACUCGGAGAGAAAUGAGGGGCCUGGACUCGCCCGGGAACGAAAGUGGAAACGGGAAAGGAAAUGGAAGAAGGGAUGCAAGGCACGAAGGAGCUAACCAAUAAGGGGUGGCAGACUAUUGGGCAUUUAGAUAAACUUCAAUUCAUCCUUCUCUUGCACUGCCAAAAGAGAGGUCUCCUGGGAGUGUCAUCCGAAGAAUGAAAUCUGCCUAACCUGGAAGAAAAAGAAAGCUGGACAGAACAAUUAUCAGUUUUAAUUGCAGCAGAAAAGUCCAGAAGGAGAAAUAAUAGUGUCUGCCUAUUACUUGGUGAUAAGAAAGUCACCGGUAUCUUGGUAUUUCAGCUGCGUAAACAGAACCUGAAUGUUGCAGAUUAAAUGAAGAAAAUAGUCACGUAUCCAGGACGGAAUAUAAAGGUCAUCAUAUUUAUAACUACCAAAGAGUUCUGGAGAAUGAAGUGAAUGUCCUGGUGGCCUUGUAUGAUACUCCCAGUUAUGAAUUCUGAGAUAACAGGUUAAUCUGGAGUCCUGUUUUUUAAGAAAAGAAAGCCAGUUGGUCAGAGGAAAAAGUCAUCAGGAAGAGUUAAGUUGCAGACCUCUCACUUCAGAGAAUCUCAACUCAUCAGCGCUGCAGCCAACCAGUCAAAAUAAGAUCUGAGGCUUCCACACAGAGGAGCCCUUCAAAGACUUGCCUUGAAACUGCUGGGUCUCCUCAGAUCAUUGUUCCUUCAGUGACUUCCCUGGCAUUGAUAUUAGUGUCCUCUGUCCCUGCUGAAUGCUGCACACAACCCUGCAGUGGCACAGACAACAUUGACAAAACAAACAGCCUUGAAUUGCCGACGCCGCUCGUCCACCAACCCCAGCAGCCAAGGCAUGGUGCAGAGAGCAUCUCUGGGCCCUGCGAGUGGGAGAACACAACAAUUGUGAGACAUUGAACUCAGUGCUAUCCUGUUAAGCAGAAUGGAAGACCAGACCAAAUUCACCUGACACUCACCCAUGGAGGGAGCAUUUAAACCCGCACUCACCGGAGGAUAAUUGCCAGUUCCAGAGGUCUGAAAUUGACUUCCCACAAACUCUGCCGCCAAGGGCCACAGUGCUCUGUGUCUCUAAGUAAACGUAAAAGGCGGUGUAGGCCAUACAGACUGCAAUUCUUAGGUAAGUUCUAGUCCUCAAAUGAGCCCAGACACAGUGGAUUGGGUGGAGGGCACGCGACCUACUGAGACAUCAGCCAGAGUGGUUAAGGGAGUGCUGGCAUCACCCCUCCCCUAAUCCCAGCCUGCUUCAAAAGAGAUCCCUUCCUUCUGCUUGAGGACAGGAGAGGUAAGAGUGGAGAGAACUUUGUCUUGCAUCUUGGAUACCAGCUCAGCCACAGAAGGAUAGGGCACUGGUCUGAUUUGUGAGGCCCUCAUUCCAAGACCUAGCUCCUGGAAGACAUUUCUAGACACACUCUUGGUGAGAAGGGAACCCACUACCUUGAAGGGAAGGGCCCAGUUCUGGCAAGGUUCAUCAGUUGCUUACUGAAGAGCUCUUGGGCCCUGAAUAACCAGCGGCAAUACCCAGGUACUAUAUUGAGGGCCUUGGGUGAGGCUCUGAGUCUUCCCUGCUUCAGGUGAGAUACAGCACAUCAUCAGCUGCGGUGGCUAUGGGGUGAAACUCCUUUGGCUUGUGAAAAGCAGAGGUAAAAGUAAUGGGGAAUUUGUCUUACACCUUAUGUACCAUCAUGGCCACAGGGGCGUAGAGCACCAGGUAGUCUCUUGGGGUCCCAAUUCCAGGAAUUGACUCAUGGAUGGCAUUUCUGGACUAGUAGGGGAGCCUGUUGUCCUGAAGGGUGAGUCCCAGGCCAGGCAGAAUUCACCUUGGGCUUUAAGGGAACAUCUGCAAUAGUCUUGCGGUACUCCUUGUGGCUUGUGGUAGCAGUGGGUAUGGGAUGAGGCUCCUCUAUUUUUGGAAAGAGUGGGUGCAUCUUGUGGUGUGAGUGCCAGCUCAGCUGCAGUACAGUAGAACACCAGGUAGACUUUUAGGGUUUUUGGCUCUGGUUCCUGUCUCCUGGAUAGCAUCUCUGGACCCACCCAAGGCCUGGGAGAGCUCGGUGCCCUGAAGGGAAGGACACAAGCCUGGUUGGCUUUGCUGCCUGCUGAAUGUAGAGGCCUAGGACCUUGAGUGAACAUAGGCAGUAGCCAGGGAGUAGUUACAGUAUCUCUUGGGUGAGAUCCAGGGCUGUGCUGGCUUCAUAUCUGACCCAGCAUAGUCAUAGUGGUGGUGGCCACAGGAGUGCUUGUGUCACUCUACUACAAGGUUUAGGUGGCUCAGAACAGAGAGAUGAGACUGUUUGUUUGGAAGAAAGUAAGAGAAGCGAACAAGAGUCUCUGCCUAGUAAUACAGAUAAUUCUCCCAGAUUUUGUCCAAGAUCAUCAAGGUGGUACCUCUACAAGUCUGCAAGAAUCACAGUAUUACUGGUCUCGGGGUAACUCAAAAAGCAAAAACAGCUUAUAUCACAGCACUCAAGUCCUUUCAAAUACCUGAAAAGCCUUCAGAAAAAAGAUGGGUAGAAAUAAGCCAAGACAAUGAAGACUACAAUAAACACCUAACUCUUCAAUGGCCAGACACCAAAGAACGUCUACUAGCAUCAACACCAUCCAGGAAAAGAUGGCCUCACCAAAUGAACUAAAUAAGGCACCAGGGACCAAUCUUCGAGAAACAGAGAUGUGUGACCAUUCAGAGAGAGAAUUCAAAAUAGAUAUGUUGAAGACACUAAAAAAUAUUCAAGAUGACACAGAAGAGGAAUUCAGAAUGCUAUUAGAUAUAUUUAACAAAGAAAUUGAAAUAAUUAAAAAGAAUCAAGCAGAAAUUCUGGAGUUGAAAAAUGCAAUCAGCAUAUUUAAGAAUCAAAGUCAUUUAAUUGCAGAAUUGAUCAAGGAGAAGAGAGAAUUAGUAAGCUUGAAAACAAAGUAUUUGCAAAUACAUAGUCAAAGGAGACAAAAGAGCAAGACUAAAAAACACUGAAGCACACCUAUGAGAUCUAAAAAGUAAUCUCAAAAGGGCAAAUCUAAGAGUUACUGGCCUUAAAGAGGAGGCAGAGAAAGAGAUAGAGGUAGAAACUUUAUU